CAGGGUCAAUCACAGGAUGUCUGAUUCCUCAGAACUUACUUUUUCUAUCAAUCUAUUUCUCUUUUCUAGGUUUGGGACAAGACACUAUAUCAGAUUAUUUGAAAAGUCAAUACAAGGAAGCACUGAAAGAAGUGAGAGGGCCCAAAGGCAACAAUACCCAGUAGCAACAAGCAAACCCAGACCCUGUCAGCUGCACAGUUCCAACAGCAGUCAAAGUGGAUCUACAGCUCCAAACCCCAUUCCUUCUGGAUUUUCGUGCUGGCCGCCAACCAAGAACUGGCUCCAGCUGUACUGGCCCCUAAUUUCUUUAACUCUUUCCUCUUCUUUAUUCUGGUGUUGAGAGAGCAAAGGAGACUCAUUUGCAAGUAUUUAUUGAGCACCAGUCACUGAGGACAGCAGUAAAUAAGGCAGGUGAGGUCCCUGCCCAUAGAAGCCACAUUCUGAAAGAUGGAUAGCAUCAUGGCACACUUAUUACUGCUAGAAGAGUUACUUGAAUGAAUGUUUUCAUUAGUCCUGAUGAUGGAGAUGCUAAUUGUUAUUCUCAUUUAUGAGACAUAGACGCCAAAUGACUUACCCAACAUCAGGCAGCUAGUUAGUGAUGGAGAUACAAUUAUUUUCUUUUACUGAUUUUAUUUAUUUAUUUAUUUAUUUUUGGCUGUGCUGGGUCUUCGCUGCUGCACGAGGUUUUCUCUAGCUGCAGUGAGGGGGGGCUUCUCAUCGCAGUGGCUUCUCCUGCUGUGCAGCAUGGGCUCUAGGGUGCGUAGGCUUCAGUAGUUGUGGCUCCCGGACUCUAGCGCAUAGGCUCAGUUGCCCUUGGGCAUGUAAGAUCCUCCAGGACCAAGGAUCGAAUCUGUGUCUCCUGCUCUGGCAGGCAGACUCUCCACCACUGAGCCACCAGGGUAGUCCCUGGAGAUACAACUUAAAUCAAAGGUCUCAGAUUCCAGAACACUUGGAUUCCUAACCAUGAUAAUAUCCAUAAAAUUGUUCUUUUGCGUAGAUACUGUCUGAUUGCUGUCUUGCUCUUUCCACUCUUAAAAGUAUGCUGCUUCUAAAAAAAUAUCUGUAAUGUCUAAUGACAAUUAUAAAAAUAAAAAGUGGCU
ensembl:lncRNA